rnacentral:ncRNA from 1 species
CAACAAACAGGGAAAGAAGAUCUAGUUAAGCUUGACUAUAGUCUGACUUUGUGAAAUGACUUGAGAGGUGUAGCACUAGUGGGAGUUUCGACACACUUAAACUACCACAACCUUUAACUUUAUUUUGCUUACUCCGCAAGUCGGAAGCGAGGCAACCCUUCUUUCUAGACCUAAAUCCCCCUUUGCAGGCCUAUACGAGAAGUUGACCUUGCCAUAUGGGGAGUUUGGUUGAGGCAACACAUUUGUUAAAAGAUAUCGCAUGUAUAUUAAUUAUGAUGAGCUCAAUGAGGAUAUAAAUCUUGUGUGGAAUAAAAGGUUAAGCCCGUUUGAUUCUAAUUUUCAGUACGAAUACAAAUCAUGAAAGUGUAGCCUAAUAAUCCUUUAAGUGUUCUGAAUUUAAAGCUAGAUAUGUCAAAAACGUUAUCACAUGACUUGUGAUAACCAAUUGUUCGUAGCGAUGUUGAUUUUUGACCCUUCGAUGUCGACUCUUCUUAUCAUUGUGAAACAAAAUUCACGAAGUGUUAGGAAUGUUACACACUAAUAGGGAGUAUGAGUUGGGUUUACCUGUUGUGAGACAAGUUAGUUUUACCCUACUAAUAAUGUCACAAUGGUAACCCAACCUAAUACGAGAGGCGAUGAUUCACACAAUUGGUCGGAAUCCAUAGCAAAAGCGACGCUUGCACCCACCGCCCCAUUAUCGUCCUACAAUAGCGACUUCGACCCGCAAGGAUAUGUGUCGUAGGCUAAGCCAAUGUGGUUGAUGCGCCGUGUGAGCCGCUUUGAAGUACAAUUUUUACCAAGCGGCGGGUUGAAUAUUUGCAAACGACUUAAAUACGAGCAGAGUAGUCUUGCUGCCAGAAUCUAUCGAGAUUCAGCCACAUGUCAAUUUAAUUC